CCCUUAGAUGUUCUGGGCCGCACGCGUGCUACACUGAUGCAUUCAACGAGUCUAAAACCUGGUCUGAUAGGGCUGGGUAAUCUUUUGAAAGUGCAUCGUGAUUGGGAUAGAUGAUUGCAAUUCUUCAUCUUCAACGAGGAAUGCCUAGUAAACGCAAGUCAUCAGCUUGCAUUGAUUACGUCCCUGCCCUUUGUACACACCGCCCGUCGCUCCUACCGAUUGAAUGAUCCGAUGAAUAUCAUGGAUUGAGAGUACGAAUGGGUUCGCUCAUUUCUGCUGCUCGAGAAGUGAAGUAAAUCUUAUCAUUUAGAGGAAGGGGAAGUCGUAACA
rnacentral:rRNA from 1 species